GCUAAAUCGGGGCGGUAGCGGUGUCCUGUAACCCUCAAUCCGCUAUAGAGGGGAUGAAAACUUGUCAUGAGGGAUAGCCGUGUCCGGUCUGCCCUGUUCAAGUGGUGUUGACGGUCUGGUCUUACGCAAUCGGAACCUGUGAACCUCGUCAGGGCGGGAACGCAGCAGCGAUAAGCAGUCAUUCCGAUGUGCCGUGAGGGCGCCAGACCUGAGCUUACUGUCCAGGUAACGCGGG
rnacentral:SRP_RNA from 1 species